rnacentral:rRNA from 1 species
AGCAGCCGCGGUAAUUCCAGCUCCAAUAGCGUAUAUUAAAGUUGUUGCAGUUAAAAAGCUCGUAGUUGAAUUUCGGGAUCAAUACGUCGGUCGUGCUUCGGUACGUACUGGCGUAAUUGAUUUCUCCCUUCUGACGAACCAUGAUGUCAUUAACUUGGUGUCAUGGGAAAUCAGGACUGUUACUUUGAAAAAAUUAGAGUGUUUAAAGCAGGCUCACGCUUGAAUACAUUAGCAUGGAAUAAUGAAAUAGGACGUUCGAUCCUAUUUUGUUGGUUUUUAGGAUCAACGUAAUGAUUAAUAGGGAUAGUUGGGGGCAUUAGUAUUCAAUUGUCAGAGGUGAAAUUCUUGGAUUUAUUGAAGACUAACUACUGCGAAAGCAUUUGCCAAGGAUGUUUUCAUUAAUCAAGAACGAAAGUUAGGGGAUCGAAGACGAUCAGAUACCGUCGUAGUCUUAACCAUAAACUAUGCCGACUAGG